rnacentral:rRNA from 1 species
UUCCCCUAGUAACUGCGAGUGAAGCGGGAAAAGCUCAAAUUUAAAAUCUGACGGCUUCGUCGUCCGAGUUGUAAUCUAGAGAAGUGCUACCCGCGUUGGACCGUGUACAAGUCUCCUGGAAUGGAGCGUCAUAGAGGGUGAGAAUCCCGUCUUUGACACGGACUGCCAGGGCUUUGUGGUGCGCUCUCAAAGAGUCGAGUUGUUUGGGAAUGCAGCUCAAAAUGGGAGGUAAAUGCCUUCUAAAGCUAAAUAUUGGCGAGAGACCGAUAGCGAACAAGUACCGUGAGGGAAAGAUGAAAAGAACUUUGGAAAGAGAGUUAAACAGUACGUGAAAUUGCUGAAAGGGAAACGCUUGAAGUCAGUCACGCUGCUAGAAAUCAACCUUGCUUUUGCCUGGUGUACUUUCUUGUUUGCGGGUCAGCAUCAGUUUUGAUCAGUGGAUAAAGGCUGCAGAAAGGUGGCACCCUCGGGUGUGUUAUAGUCUGCUGUUGUAUACACUGGUUGGGACUGAGGAACUCAGCACGCCGCAAGGCCGGGGUUCGCCCACGUUCGUGCUUAGGAUGCUGGCAUAAUGGCUUUAAUCGACCCGUCUUGAAACACGGACCAAGGAGUCUAACAUGCCUGCGAGUGUUUGGGUGGAAAACCCGAGCGCGUAAUGAAAGUGAAAGUUGAGAUCCCUGUCGUGGGGAGCAUCGACGCCCGGACCAGACCUUUUGUGACGGAUCCGCGGUAGAGCAUGUAUGUUGGGACCCGAAAGAUGGUGAACUAUGCCUGAAUAGGGUGAAGCCAGAGGAAACUCUGGUGGAGGCUCGUAGCGAUUCUGACGUGCAAAUCGAUCGUCAAAUUUGGGUAUAGGGGCGAAAGACUAAUCGAACCAUCUAGUAGCUGGUCCUGC